rnacentral:rRNA from 1 species
GACGAACGCUGGCGGCGUGCCUAAUACAUGCAAGUCGAACGCAGUGGGUACGGGUGAGUAACACGUGGGUAACCUCCCAUCAGAGGGCAUAAAACUUGGAAACUGGUGCUAAACCCACACUGUUGGAUGGACCCGCGGUGCAUUAGCUAGCUGGUGAGGUAACGGCUCACCUAGGCCACGAUGCAUAGCCGACCUGAGAGGGUGAUCAGCCACACUGGGACUGAGACACGGACCAGACUCCUACGGGAGGCAGCAGUGGGGAAUCUUAGGCGAUGGGCGAAAGUCUGAUCGAGCAACGCCGCGUGAGUGAAGAAGGUUUUCGGGUCGUAAAACUCUGUUGUUAGAGAGACGGUAUCUAACCAAGAGGCCACGGCUAACUACGUGCCAGCCGCCGCGGUAAUUC